GAUGAACGCUGGCGGCGUGCCUAAUACAUGCAAGUAGAACGCUGAAGGAAGGAGCUUGCUCUUUCCGGAUGAGUUGCGAACGGGUGAGUAACGCGUAGGUAACCUGCCUGGUAGCGGGGGAUAACUAUUGGAAACGAUAGCUAAUACCGCAUAACAGUAGAUGUUGCAUGAUAUCUACUUAAAAGGUGCAAUUGCACCACUACCAGAUGGACCUGCGUUGUAUUAGCUAGUUGGUGAGGUAACGGCUCACCAAGGCGACGAUACAUAGCCGACCUGAGAGGGUGAUCGGCCACACUGGGACUGAGACACGGCCCAGACUCCUACGGGAGGCAGCAGUAGGGAAUCUUCGGCAAUGGACGGAAGUCUGACCGAGCAACGCCGCGGGAGUGAAGAAGGUUUUCGGAUCGUAAAGCUCGGUUGUAAGAGAAGAACGAGUGUGAGAGUGGAAAGUUCACACUGUGACGGUAUCUUACCAGAAAGGGACGGCUAACUACGUG
rnacentral:rRNA from 1 species